rnacentral:rRNA from 1 species
CUCCCUUGUUGCUGACCUCAGGUUCGAUAGUGCCAACUUGGCACCACCUCGCCUAAAACCAACUUCGAUGAAGCGACGGGCGGUGUGUGCAAGGAG